CCUCAUGCAGCUGCUUAAAAUUCAUUUUGAGAUUUGUAUUUUGCUAAAAACAACCAUUUGUUGGCUCUUUAGGUUCAAGAAGCAUCAUCCAAGUUAGCCAUUUUUGUUCAUAUUGACAGUCUACUUCAACACAACAUCAGCAUAGGCACAUGUAUUAUACUUAUUAGAUAUAAUGGAUAGAUUUCAAGAUUUUUCAAAUCAUUCAGCCUUAUAAAGACAUGCAGGAGUCAUAAGGUCUCUAAAAAUACUAGCAUCAAUAAGCAAAUUGGAAUAAAAAUCCACUUAUUGUGCUUUUAUCAUGCCUAGAUAAUCAGAACAGUUCCAAGAUAUUUCAGGUGAAAAACACUAAG
rnacentral:misc_RNA from 1 species